AUGCGUAGGGGGCGAGCGUUGUCCGGAAUGAUUGGGCGUAAAGGGCGCGUAGGCGGCCCGGUAAGUCUGGAGUGAAAGUCCUGUUUAUAAGAUGGGAAUUGCUUUGGAUACUGUCGGGCUUGAGUGCAGGAGAGGUAAGUGGAAUUCCCAGUGUAGCGGUGAAAUGCGUAGAGAUUGGGAGGAACACCAGUGGCGAAGGCGACUUACUGGACUGUAACUGACGCUGAGGCGCGAAAGUGUGGGGAGCAAACAGGAUUAGAUACCCUGGUAGUCCACACUGUAAACGAUGAAUGCUAGGUGUAGGGGGUAUCGACCCCUUCUGUGCCGCAGUCAACACAAUAAGCAUUCCGCCUGGGGAGUACGGCCGCAAGGUUAAAACUCAAAGGAAUUGACGGGG
rnacentral:rRNA from 1 species